rnacentral:rRNA from 1 species
CCUACGGGAGGCAGCAGUCGAGAAUCAUUCACAAUGGGGGAAACCCUGAUGGUGCGACGCCGCGUGGGGGAAUGAAGGUCUUCGGAUUGUAAACCCCUGUCAUGUGGGAGCAAAUUAAAAAGAUAGUACCACAAGAGGAAGAGACGGCUAACUCUGUGCCAGCAGCCGCGGUACUACAGAGGUCUCAAGCGUUGUUCGGAAUCACUGGGCGUAAAGCGUGCGUAGGCUGUUUCGUAAGUCGUGUGUGAAAGGCGCGGGCUCAACCCGCGGACGGCACAUGAUACUGCGAGACUAGAGUAAUGGAGGGGGAGCCGGAAUUCGCGGUGUAGCAGUGAAAUGCGUAGAUAUCGAGAGGAACACUCGUGGCGAAGGCGGGUUCCUGGACAUUAACUGACGCUGAGGCACGAAGGCCAGGGGAGCGAAAGGGAUUAGAUACCCUUGUAGUC